rnacentral:rRNA from 1 species
AACGCUGGCGGCAGGCCUAACACAUGCAAGUCGAACGGUAACAGGAAACAGCUUGCUGUUUCGCUGACGAGUGGCGGACGGGUGAGUAAUGUCUGGGAAACUGCCUGAUGGAGGGGGAUAACUACUGGAAACGGUAGCUAAUACCGCAUAACGUCGCAAGACCAAAGAGGGGGACCUUCGGGCCUCUUGCCAUCGGAUGUGCCCAGAUGGGAUUAGCUAGUAGGUGGGGUAAAGGCUCACCUAGGCGACGAUCCCUAGCUGGUCUGAGAGGAUGACCAGCCACACUGGAACUGAGACACGGUCCAGACUCCUACGGGAGGCAGCAGUGGGGAAUAUUGCACAAUGGGCGCAAGCCUGAUGCAGCCAUGCCGCGUGUAUGAAGAAGGCCUUCGGGUUGUAAAGUACUUUCAGCGGGGAGGAAGGGAGUAAAGUUAAUACCUUUGCUCAUUGACGUUACCCGCAGAAGAAGCACCGGCUAACUCCGUGCCAGCAGCCGCGGUAAUACGGAGGGUGCAAGCGUUAAUCGGAAUUACUGGGCGUAAAGCGCACGCAGGCGGUUUGUUAAGUCAGAUGUGAAAUCCCCGGGCUCAACCUGGGAACUGCAUCUGAUACUGGCAAGCUUGAGUCUCGUAGAGGGGGGUAGAAUUCCAGGUGUAGCGGUGAAAUGCGUAGAGAUCUGGAGGAAUACCGGUGGCGAAGGCGGCCCCCUGGACGAAGACUGACGCUCAGGUGCGAAAGCGUGGGGAGCAAACAGGAUCAGAUACCCUGGUAGUCCACGCCGUAAACGAUGUCGACUUGGAGGUUGUGCCCUUGAGGCGUGGCUUCCGGAGCUAACGCGUUAAGUCGACCGCCUGGGGAGUACGGCCGCAAGGUUAAAACUCAAAUGAAUUGACGGGGGCCCGCACAAGCGGUGGAGCAUGUGGUUUAAUUCGAUGCAACGCGAAGAACCUUACCUGGUCUUGACAUCCACGGAAGUUUUCAGAGAUGAGAAUGUGCCUUCGGGAACCGUGAGACAGGUGCUGCAUGGCUGUCGUCAGCUCGUGUUGUGAAAUGUUGGGUUAAGUCCCGCAACGAGCGCAACCCUUAUCCUUUGUUGCCAGCGGUCCGGCCGGGAACUCAAAGGAGACUGCCAGUGAUAAACUGGAGGAAGGUGGGGAUGACGUCAAGUCAUCAUGGCCCUUACGACCAGGGCUACACACGUGCUACAAUGGCGCAUACAAAGAGAAGCGACCUCGCGAGAGCAAGCGGACCUCAUAAAGUGCGUCGUAGUCCGGAUUGGAGUCUGCAACUCGACUCCAUGAAGUCGGAAUCGCUAGUAAUCGUGGAUCAGAAUGCCACGGUGAAUACGUUCCCGGGCCUUGUACACACCGCCCGUCACACCAUGGGAGUGGGUUGCAAAAGAAGUAGGUAGCUUAACCUUCGGGAGGGCGCUUACCACUUUGUGAUUCAUGACUGGGGUGAA